rnacentral:rRNA from 1 species
CGAGUGGCGAACGGGUGAGUAACACGUGGGUGAUCUGCCCUGCACUUUGGGAUAAGCCUGGGAAACUGGGUCUAAUACCGAAUAGGACCGCAUGCUGCAUGGUGUGUGGUGGAAAGCUUUUGCGGUGUGGGAUGGGCCCGCGGCCUAUCAGCUUGUUGGUGGGGUAAUGGCCUACCAAGGCGACGACGGGUAGCCGGCCUGAGAGGGUGUCCGGCCACACUGGGACUGAGAUACGGCCCAGACUCCUACGGGAGGCAGCAGUGGGGAAUAUUGCACAAUGGGCGCAAGCCUGAUGCAGCGACGCCGCGUGGGGGAUGACGGCCUUCGGGUUGUAAACCUCUUUCAGUAUCGGCGAAGCUCCAAGGUUUUCUUUGGGGUGACGGUAGGUACAGAAGAAGCACCGGCCAACUACG